rnacentral:rRNA from 1 species
AUUGAACGCUGGCGGCAGGCCUAACACAUGCAAGUCGAGCGGAUGAAGGGAGCUUGCUCCUGGAUUCAGCGGCGGACGGGUGAGUAAUGCCUAGGAAUCUGCCUGGUAGUGGGGGAUAACGUCCGGAAACGGGCGCUAAUACCGCCUACGUCCUGAGGGAGAAAGUGGGGGAUCUUCGGACCUCACGCUCUCAGAUGAGCCUAGGUCGGAUUAGCUAGUUGGUGGGGUAAAGGCCUACCAAGGCGACGAUCCGUAACUGGUCUGAGAGGAUGAUCAGUCACACUGGAACGGAGACACGGUCCAGACUCCUACGGGAGGCAGCAGUGGGGAAUAUUGGACAAAGGGCGAAAGCCUGAUCCAGCCAUGCCGCGUGUGUGAAGAAGGUCUUCGGAUUGGAAAGCACUUUAAGUUGGGAGGAAGGGCAGUAAGUUAAUACCUUGCUGUUUUGACGGUACCAACAGAAUAAGCACCGGCUAACUUCGUG